AUACGGAGGAUCCGAGCGUUAUCCGGAUUUAUUGGGUUUAAAGGGAGCGUAGGUGGAUUGUUAAGUCAGUUGUGAAAGUUUGCGGCUCAACCGUAAAAUUGCAGUUGAAACUGGCAGUCUUGAGUACAGUAGAGGUGGGCGGAAUUCGUGGUGUAGCGGUAAAAUGCUUAGAUAUCACGAAGAACUCCGAUUGCGAAGGCAGCUCACUAGACUGUUACUGACACUGAUGCUCGAAAGUGUGGGUAUCAAACAGGAUUAGAUACCCUGGUAGUCCACACAGUAAACGAUGAAUACUCGCUGUUUGCGAUAUACAGUAAGCGGCCAAGCGAAAGCAUUAAGUAUUCCACCUGGGGAGUACGCCGGCAACGGUGAAACUCAAAGGAAUUGGCGGGG
rnacentral:rRNA from 1 species